rnacentral:rRNA from 1 species
AACGAACGCUGGCGGCGUGGAUAAGACAUGCAAGUCGAACGGAUUAUUCAUUGUAGCAAUACAGUGGGUAGUCAGUGGCGCAAGGGUGCGUAACACGUGGGCAACCUGCCCGGAAGUGGGGGAUAGCUCGCCGAAAGGCGAAUUAAUACCGCAUGUGGCUAGGAGUGACAUCACUCUGAGGCCAAAGUCGGGGCAACCUGACGCUUCUGGAUGGGCCCGCGGCCUAUCAGCUAGUUGGUGAGGUAACGGCUCACCAAGGCGAUGACGGGUAGCUGGUCUGAGAGGACGACCAGCCACACUGGAACUGAGACACGGUCCAGACACCUACGGGUGGCAGCAGUCGAGAAUUUUUCUCAAUGGGGGAAACCCUGAAGGAGCGACGCCGCGUGGAGGAUGAAGGUCUUCGGAUUGUAAACUCCUGUCAUUGGUGAACAAGGCCCACGCAGUAACUGGUGUUGGGUUUGAUAGUAGCCGAAGAGGAAGAGACGGCUAACUCUGUGCCAGCCGCCGCCGUAACAC